AAGGGUUGGCCUUGGUUUUGUCAUAAAGUUACAGUUAAUCCUUAAAUAACUCAAAAAAAGUUUUGCAAAUUCAGCCCUGGUCGGAUGAUCCAGGGCUUCAGGUAGUUCAGUAUGUUCUACGGAUAGUCUUUUCGCGUCAUUCCUACAAAAGAAAGGAAGACACGAAUUAGAGAUUUAAUUCUUGAAACGAGGAUAUUUAUCUUUCCUAGGUACUCCAAAUGGUUUAUCUAUC
rnacentral:lncRNA from 1 species